CCUCCCACUACAGUUCAUUCUACCCCUCAGUCUCUCUCCUACUCUGUACUGACCUCUCACUACCGUUCACUUUCUACCCCCACACCCCCUCAGUCUCUUUCCUACCCUCUGUUUCUGACCUCCCACUACAGUUAUUCUGACCUCCCACUACAGUUCAUUCUACCCCCACACCCCCUGUCUCUCUCCUACCCUCUGUUUUCUGACCUCCCACUACAGUUCAUUCUCCCCCCACACCCCCUCAGUCUCUCUCCUACUCUCGUUUUUCUGACCUCCCACUACAGUUCAUUCUACCCCACACCCCCUCAGUCUCUCUCCCCACCCUCAUACAUCCCACUCUCACUUUUACCUUCCCACUCCAUUCGUGCAAGCCGUCUUUCUCUGUCCAUCCUCCCACUCCAGUUCUCGGUCACCCUCCCACUCCCGUUCUCUGUCACCCUCCCACUCUGGUUCCUCUCACCCUCCCACUCCAGUUCUCUCUCACCCUCCCACUCCAGUUCUCUCUACCCUCCCACUCCAGUUCUUGUCUCCCCUCUCACCCUCCCACUCCAGUUCUUGUCUCCUCUCUCACCCUCCCACUUCUGUUCUUGUCCCCUCUUCACCCACUCCAGUUCUUGUCCCUCUCUUCACCCACUCCAGUUCUUGUCCCCUCUCUCACCUACUCCAGUUCUUGUUUCUUCUCUCACCCUCCACUCCAGUUCUUGUCUCCCCUUCUCACCCCUCCCACUCCAGUUCUUGUCUCCUCUCUCACCCUCCCACAUCUGUUUUGUCCCCUCUCUCACCUACUCCAGUUCUUGUCUCCCCUCUCACCCUCCCACUCCAGUUCUUGUCUCCUCUCUCACCCUCCCACUUCUGUUUUUGUCCCCUCUCUCACCCACUCCAGUUCUCAUCCCUCUCUACCCUCACUUCUGUUUUGUCCCUCCUCACCCAUCCAGUUCUGUCCCCUCUCUCACCCACUCCAGUUCUUGUCCCCUCUCUACCUACCUCCAGUUCUGUUUCUUCUCUCUCACCCUCCCACUCGUUCUCUCUCACCCUCCCACUCCAAGUUCUUGUCUCCUCUCUCACAUCUGUUCUUGUCCCCUCUCUCACCUACUCCAGUUCUUGUCUCCCCUCUCACCCUCCCCACUCCAUUCUUGUCUCCCUCUCACCCUCCCACUUCUGUUUUUGUCCUCUCUCACCCAUCAGUUUUUUCCCCUCUCUCACCCUACUCCAGUUCUUUUUCUCCCUCUCACCUCCCACUCCAGUUCUUGUCUCCUCUCUCCCCUCCAACACACGUUCUUGUCUCCUCUUCACCCUCCCCACUCCAGUUCUUGUCUCCCUCUCACCCUCCCACUCCAGUUCUUGUUUCUUCUCUCACCCUCCCACUCCAGUUCUUGUCUCCUCUCUCACCCUCCCACUCCAGUUCUUGUCUCUCUCUCACCUCCCACUCCAGUUCUUGUCUCCUCUCUCACCCUCCCACUCCAGUUCUUGUCUCCUCUCUCACCCUCCCACUCCAGUUCUUGUCUCCCUCUCACCCUCCCACUCCAGUUCUUGUUCUCCUCUCUCACCCUCCCACUCCAGUUUUGUCUCCUCUCUCCACCCUCCCACUCCAGUUCUUGUCUCCUCUCUCACCCUCCCACUCCAGUUUUGUCUCCUCUUCAACCCUCCCCCUCCAGUUCUUGUCUCCUCUCUCACCCUCCCACUCCAGUUCUUGUAUCCUCUCCACCCUCCCACUUCCAGUUCUUGUCUCCCUUCUCACCCUCCCACUCCAGUCGUGCAUGCUGUCAGGGAAGUUGCAGGACUCGCUGUCCGAGGGUGUCUCCAGGGCCUCCAGGUUGAUGUCCAGCUCCGUGUCAUCUUCGUCGGGUUGAGAGGGCGCGCGCAGAGUACCCGGGUCCCCUGACUUCACACUGCGGUCCGCUUGAGUCGGUACGGGACAGGUCAGGCUGAGGGUGGGCGCCACCAGACGCUUCUUCCUUAUGGGGUUUUCUGCAGGCGCCAGGCUGGUGGGUGGAGCUGGGGGAGUAGCACACAAAACAGGUAUUGUGGGAUAUGGUGCAGUACUUUUGGAAUUAGGCCUUUGCAGACAUUGGUAUUAGGGAUAUACCUGGUCUCUCUGCAUUUUCUCCUUGGGUCUCAGGACUAUGGGAUCUUCAGGAAGAGGUCUAGGGGGGGAAUACAAAAUAGUUGAAAAAGCUUAGUACUGCUUUCUUACCCGGUCAUAACAAAAAAAGCAUUCUUUGCAGGGACCUAAAAUAUCAUUUAAGAUGUCAUGGUGAACAGGCUGGGGUUUACCGUUCAGGGGGUAGGUUAAAGGUCAGGGUUUAGGUUUUUCUCUGACCUGGGGACUCCUCAUCCUGCCAUUCCUCCCUCAGCUCCAUGUCCUGGAUGUGGAAGCAGCCUUCGCCCCCUCUGGACUCCUACAGAACAGACAGCAUGUCACAGUACAUUCAAUAGUCUUGCUGUACAUGCUGUAAUAAUCAAAAGAUUCAACACACAGUCUAUAGUCCUUAAGAGCUCAAAUAAGACACAGUCUGACGACACUCUGAUGAAGGCCACUGCCCAAACG
rnacentral:lncRNA from 1 species